rnacentral:lncRNA from 1 species
UUCACAAACACCAAAACACAUCACACAUACAAAAUCAUGCCAAUUUCUUGCAAAAUAAGCAAAGUUGCAUAAACAUGCAAAACAAUCAUCAAACAUAUACAUAUUCCCUCCUAGAUGUUCAUUAAGCAUAAGACAUGUUUAUGAUAAAGAAACUUCACCCAAACCCAAAGAAAUUGGGUGAGAGAGUUUGGGAAUGGAGGCUAGACACCUCCCCUCUCUUGGAUCACCCAAGCUUAUGCUUAACCACUCUCACCUUAGAUUGAAUGAUGAUUCUUGGCCUCUAAACUCUUCUCCUUGCUC